GUGUCAGCAGCCGCGGUAAUACGUAGGGUGCAAGCGUUGUCCGGAUUUAUUGGGCGUAAAGAGCUCGUAGGCGGUUAGUCACGUCGGAUGUGAAAACCCGGAGCUUAACUCCGGGCCUGCAUUCGAUACGGGCUGACUAGAGUGUUGUAGGGGAGACUGGAACUCCUGGUGUAGCGGUGAAAUGCGCAGAUAUCAGGAAGAACACCGGUGGCGAAGGCGGGUCUCUGGGCAACUACUGACGCUGAGGAGCGAAAGCGUGGGGAGCAAACAGGAUUAGAUACCCGCGUAGUCC
rnacentral:rRNA from 1 species